rnacentral:piRNA from 1 species
UGAGUGCCCCAGCUUUUGGUUGGAACU